UUUUUUUAUUUUUUUAUUUUUUUAUUUUUUUAUUUUUUUGGAGUUGCCAUUUACUGAGUGUAGGGAAGUUGGUUGCGGGUGGUAGGUAUUUGGUGUCAAGCAGGCUCCCUGAGGCCGGGAUGGGAGGUUCAGGCUGCAAAUAAAAUUUGAGAGUAUUCUCAGAUCAAGUCUUCAACAGAGCCUGAAACAGGGAUCCAAGUGUGGUUUAUUGUGAGGGCACAUUCAGAAGAAAUCUGUGAAGGCCUCCAUUAGUCAGCUAGUGAUUGUCUGUCCCUUGGGGGGCAGGGGUGGACCUUGGAAGGCAAGUAGCUCGAUAAUUGAGGGCAGUUCUCCGGCAAAAGGACAGAAGGACUGUGGACCACUGGCAGGGGAUAGACACAGUGAGGGACUGGGAUGGGGAUGUGGGUCUCAGUUCUGUGAAGGGGUCUGGGAGGGAAUUCUACGUCAUGUCUCUCCCCAUCCCCUGCUGGAUCAUCAGCAUGUACAUUGUGUGUAAAGCCAUGAGUCUGGAUGGGGUCAUGUAGAUGGAAUGUGUAUUUUAAGAAGCAAGAGAAGAGGGUCAAGGUCAGAGCUCUGGGGCUCUCUGGGAAAUGAGAAACCUACCAAAGAGACUAGAAGGAGCCACCGUUGAGGUUGGAGAAAACCCAGGAAAGUGGUGUUUUGGAAUGUGAGUUCUCUUUUUUCAACCUUGUUCCCUCCUCCAAUAAGCCACUUGGUCUGGGGAAGGAGGCUGAGGGGACUAGGACAGCCUUUGGGAGACAGGACUUCUCUUACAGGAGCCUUUGGGAGACAGGACUUCUCUUACAUUCUCUUAAAGGAAUGAAGGGAGAUAGAAUUUGGGGGUCAUUAAUAUGAUGGUGAGUAAUUGGGGGUGGCAAACUCAUAUAUUUUUGGUUUCCCAGGCUUCUUCCCCCUCCUCCCACUGCCCCAUCUCACCAGUCUAAGCUCUGGGAAUGCCCUUCUAUUCCUGGGAACACCCUUCUGUUCCUCCUUCUGCACCAUUCUGCUCCCCAUCCCUUUCUCUUUAGAGCACCUCCUCUUUUACCUGCACAAGAAUCCUCCUGUCAUGUUCUCCUUCUGGGGCACUGACAAUAAGCUACUACUGUCUUGCCCUACCUACGGAGCUUACUCUCUGGGUAGGCCAUAUGGCCAAGGCGUCAGUGUGAUUGGCAUUGUGGUGGCCACACUUGUGUCCACAGCAGCCCCCAGUCAGGGCAUGACUCAGAUCCUACUGGCUUCCACCCAUGGUCAUGGGAUCCUCCUCCUUCCCUUGCCCUGCUCUCCGCUCCACCAGCAGGGAGGAGGGUCAUAGGGCAGGUCUCUACAGUAGAGAGGAACCCAGUGAGUGGCCACCCUGGCCCAGACACCCAAGUCCAUGGAGAUGGUACACCUGGCAGCCAUUUAACUCAGCAGGGAGCUCCUGGCUACAGCUGUCCCUCCCAGUUGUGUGAGAACAGCCAAGGACACCAACAUGGGACCAGGCUGGGUUGGGUAGUCUGAUCCCCUCCAAUUCUUUGUGCCCUGCAGACCUUCCAUUUGGUCCUCUUCCUUGAGCCUGGGCUGAGCUCUUUGUGGAUGAUGUUGCUCCACACAUGAUUGAGUGGUGGUGGUGGUAGAAGGGGUCCUUAUUUACUCACUGAACUUGACGCCUCUUUACAGGGGUGGCAGGGUGGUUGAAAAGCACCUCCGCCCCGAUCCUGGCAAUGCCCCUGAGGAAGAAGCCCUGGGAGCAGUAUGGUCAACAUUGUCAGCACUUUGCUUGGAUUGGAAGCUAUGGGACUGGGUUACUAAUCUUUUUAUUCCAAAGGAAACCAAACCAAUCUUUAAAAAAAAAAAAAAAAGGUGGGCCAAUUCCUCCAAACCUACCAUGAAACCCAGUAUGCAGACCACAUUCAACAACCUCAACCCAGCACCUCCCUGAGUGUGUUUCUUGGAAGAGCCUAGAAGAUUCCUGGAUUGAGACUUCAUGGGUUCAGCAUUAGUUGGGCCUGUCUUUUGAAAAACAACAACAAAAAAAUCCCCCACAUUUUUAAGCUUUGCAGAAGUUUCCAGACCUAGCCUUAGGUGUCCUUCGACUCAUUUCCAUAGAGGGCAGCAGGGAGGUGACCCCCCACGGGGAUGGGGCCAUCUGUCCAGUCAUCUUGCCAUGUGGGUAGCCCAGGGAGGUGGCAUCCUCUGGGAAGGGCUGCCCACCAUGACCCCAGGAAUGUUCAGUGUCUACACUAACUGGAGCGCUGAGGGAGGCCUGUAUAGACACAGGUUUAAAAGAGACUAAUUGAAAUGUCUCUCAUACCAUAUUCAACGAUGUACCUUGACCUCUGAGCUUCGAGCCACUCUAAUGAUGGCCCUAACCUGUUAUGCCCACCCCUGGGACCCAGGAGAGCUGCUGGGCAUGCUGGCCACGAAGGCUGCCUUAGGAAAUGAGGCUUUUAGGAGUUCUUACUCAGGGAAUUUUAGGAGAACAAACAUUUUAUUGAACCAAACUCGGUGGCAAACAGAAAUGAUCUGUUAGAUUGUCAAAGGGGAAGGGUUUAUUAUGACUGCUGGUGGAAUAAACAGUGGCUGGUUUCUGCCAACAUUUAUGGAAAUAAUGUUUUUAAGUUUUAAAUGUGAGCUGUAAACCUAAGCUACUUCAGGGUUGUUGUUGUUGUUUUUUUUUUUUUAAUUCAAUACUGAAACUGUGGGGGGAAAGGUGGGUUGGUGCCAGAAAAAACAUUCUCAUUUAAUAGUGUUUGCACAUGGAACUGCUACCCAGUUUGUAGCGAGGCCCUGAGAAAAACCCACAACUAAUCCUUCAUCACAGCUGUCUGCGCUCUUGAUCAUCUGCCAUCCUCCGAACAGCGACUUCUUUUUUCUGGUGACUGCAGGCUUGAAUGACCUAGUGUGGAGAGUUUAAGCUAUAUACAAGGGGGGCGGGGGCGAGAAAGGAACCUCAAAUAAGCCUCAGCCAAAGGUUUUGUGCAUAGGACUUCCUGUGCCGGCAGCCAGGGGCAGGGCUGUUCCCCACCCUGUCCCUGCAGUGUCUCCCCGAGACGGAGGACAUCGCAACAGCCAGCUUUGCCUUGUCUGACCCACUCCUGUCCCUGCACCGAGUCAGGAGCACUGUGGUUUUUUCCACACUUGGGUGCUUCUCCCUCCACCUCCAGGCCAGGUGUGGGAGCAGUUGACCCCCAGCACCAAUCACUGCCCCCCAGGGGCCUCUCCCCAAAUAUCUGGCUUUGGUGGCUUGCUGAAUGAACGUGUUGGCUCACUAUUCUCUUGGAGCCAAUGCAGUAGGAUGCUGGUGGCCCACUUUAUAAGAAAAGAAUAAGAAGGAAAUAAGCAAUUUGGCCAAGAGGUACAGGAUCACUUGGUUUUGAGGAGGCCAGACUAUAAACACUGUUGCCAAUGUCUCUCUGCCCUCCCCUCCCUCGGCCAGGGCAGUAUGUAAUCUCACUCUUACAGGAAAUAAGAACUUGGAAAGUUAUUGAAAACAAAGAUUUUUUUUUUUUAAAGAAAAUCACAUUAAACGUUUUAUUUUGCUUAUUUUCUACUGUUUUGUCUACUGGGUGAACCUGAGCCACACCCAGUCAUUUGAGGAUGCCGUUGUAAGGAGCUCUGUUUUCUCAGGUCCCUGAGAUUUCUAACAGCUGUCCAGCAAAGCAGAACCCUUAUUCUGAGGACUCUGGGAUCUUCCUCAGCAGAGGGGGAUCCUUGCUAGCCUCACGGGCUGAGCACCUUUUCAGGAGAUAGGGGCUCAUUCCUCUUCCCAGGAAUGUUCUCUUUUAGAGGAGAUCUGGGAUUCCACUUGGAAAAACAUUUGGGAUCCAGGGCUUACUUUUGAUCUAAAGAGCUGGUUGGUCCCUUGCUGCCAACAUCUGAGAAGUGAUCAAACAAGGACCAAAACACCAUCAAGGAUGACCGCUAACAGCUUCCGUGCUCUGUGCAUGUCACUGAAGGGCCAGAAAGGAGACAAAGAGCAGAGGAAGCAGGUGCAAGGAGUGAGGGAGCAGUGAGGGCAGGGAGGCGUGGAGAGUUCAAACAGCAGCCGUGUGAGGACAGGUAGGGGACACGGGCAUGGUGUUGGAACUGGCCCAAGAAUCCCCAGGAUGCAGUGGAGAAGCAUGGCAUGAGGAGGCGUGGAGAUGCAGGGGAUCAGAGCUUUCGAAGCCUGGUGUGGGCAUGAAAUGCUCUGAAUUGGGGUGUGAGGGAGACCAGCCUUAGCCUGAUCCCAUGGGAACUCAGGAGCACAGAUUCUACCCAGAACUGUCCCACCCGGAGGCAGGGAGGCAGGCCUCGGGUAUGCCCAUGCCAGUCGUAGCUCCAGGCUGCCCUGGGGGGUACAGGUGGCUCUUACUCCUGGGUGAGGAACUCCCAUGGGGCUGAAGGCUAUCCUCUGGAUGAGAAGGCAUUUUUGAGCAUUUUAGCAGCCACCAUGCAGGGUAGCUGGAGGAUGGGUUCACGUGCAGAGUGAAGGGGAUCUGGGUGGGGCACAACUGUGUCCAUGACAUUGGGUAACGGGGGAGGCAUGGACGGCCUCCUGGUGGUCACAGAAGUAUAAGGGGACAUCAGGCAGAUGGGAUCAGUGCUGAUGUUCUCUGAGCUUGAUUGCUCCAUUUGUCUCUCCAGAUUUCUUUUUCAGCCUGUCCUGGGCCCCAGGGGCUUGGCCCUUAUGGUCGACACUGUCUGGGCUCCUUAUCCUUUGGUUUUGGGGUUGCCACUGGGAUGUGCUGGCAAGAGAUCGCAGGGAGGACCCUGCUUCCUUCAGGCUACACUUGGAUGGUGGCUGUGUUCUGCUUGAGGCCAGAGGUUUUUGUCGUGAAGCUCUCUUUCCGGUCCCCUAAGAGCCCUGCACCCCUCACUGUUUCUGUUAACCGUGCCCACACUUUUAUGACUAGUCUCUACAUCUCUCUUGAAUCAUCCCUCUGAGUGUCUGAUCAGGAGGAGGAUAAUCAGCCCUGGGCUCUACCUCUUGCACGUCCCUGGCACACCCAGCACCCAGCACUCUAUUAAAAGCAGAGUCUGAGUCAGCAGGUCUGGGAGGGGCCUGGGAUUCUGCAUUCCUAGCAAGCUGCCAAGUCCUGCCUGUGCCCCUGGCCCAGGAGCCACACUGACAAUUGAACCUGGGCCUUUUGUCAGAGUGAAGCGUAUGGUCUUUGGUUGAGGGGAGGAAGAAGGAGGGAGGCAGGAGGAGGGGCAGGAGCUCCGCAGACAUCCCUGAAAUCCUGCUGCAAGAGUGAACAGGGCUGAGACUCCGAGAGGGUGGUCUUGGAGCAAAUAUGAACGCACAAUUUUUGAGAUUACUAGAGAAACUUUUUUUUUUUUAAACCAUCAUGAUGUAACCCAGAUACAAGAUACAUUUAGCAACUGUUUGGGGAAAUAAUUAUUUAUUUUAAAGAUCUCAGAAGCUUUGUGUUAAUGGACCACACGACCCUCAAUUUUCAUUAACAUUAAACGUUUACCAGUCUCAAGACACGCAUAAUGACAUAUAAUUUAGGUUUACAAUGUUUUAAUCAUUCCCCUUCCAUAUGCAUUUUUAGAUCCUAUAACAUUAAUUUAGAUGGAAGCAAACCAAUAAAAACUUAAAAACUGAUGUGUUGGGUUUGUUUUCAUGUAGUUCAUAUCUAUGAAAUAAUACAUGUAUUAAUGCAUCUGUAAUAAAUUUAUUAA
rnacentral:lncRNA from 1 species